GUUCUAGCCAGGGGCACGUAAGUAGAAGUAUCAUGUAUAAUGUCUAGAAAGAUCAGGCUGCCUAGAGUGUGGGCAUGAUGGCUGGAUAUCCAACAGCCAUUUCAGACCAUGAGGCAGAAGCCACAUGGAAGAUGGCAGAGCAAGAGGAUAGAAGGAGCUUGACUUCCUAAUGAUGAUGGAAUUUCCUGUGAUUUUUCAGCUGAGUCUAAUGCUAAUUAAAGCAACUAAAAGUUUGUCAAGAAGACUGAAAACCAGUUUGCUAAGUAGGAGUUAAUUAUAUUUAAUUAAAAAUAGAUGCUUGAAGUUACUUUUCACCAUGUCCAUCGAGACACUCACUUCUGCAUUAUGGGUCCAGAAAACCCUGUGAGGAUGAACAAGUGUCACUUGAGAGUGCACGAUGCAAGCAGUGCACGGAUUGAUCGCUAAGACUGUCCAGUGUGCGGAUGCCUCCCAGAAAAUAGCAGGGCUUUGAGAAGCAGGAAGGAACUCAGCAGGGAUAUGGAAGUCUUCUUUGAAAGAAGUGUGGUUCCUGCUUCUGCUCAGGACAGGGAAUGAGUUGGAAAAUCUUAACUUAAGGAGCACCCAGGACUUUGAAGAAGCUUUGAAUAAUUUCUUUGUUGUCAUUGCUUCAUGCUUCACUUCUUUGGGUGAUGCUCUGAAAGCGCAUUGGUCAAUAUUCGGGUAAAUAUGUUAAAAUGAUUGAUAACAUGAUAUUGGAAAAUCACCAAAUUAUUUCAAAGGUAAAUGGAAUGUUAGAGUUCCAUGCCAAGAGUUUUACUUAAACAUACUUUUUUAUCCUGUCUGAUGCUUUUGAUAUAAUUAACCUGUUAUUGUUAUAAAAACAAAGUUACAUUUUUUCCAAACACCUUCAUGUUCAUUUCAACUUUUCGAAAGGAAAGAGGUAAGUCUUAGAAAACCAUCUUUUAAAAAUAAUGUUGCUUUAAAAUCGUUUCACUUUGUCUAGUCCUUCAAUGUCAUCUUUUGUUUCACAGUAAAGAAAAAACUCCUCUUUAUUAAAAAAAGAUUUUUUACUAGA